rnacentral:rRNA from 1 species
UACAGAGGUCUCAAGCGUUGUUCGGAUUCAUUGGGCGUAAAGGGUGCGUAGGCGGCGCGGUAAGUCGGGUGUGAAAUCUUGGAGCUUAACUCCGAAACUGCAUUCGAUACUGCCGUGCUUGAGGACUGGAGAGGAGACUGGAAUUUACGGUGUAGCGGUGAAAUGCGUAGAUAUCGUAAGGGAAGACCAGUGGCGAAGGCGGGUCUCUGGACAG